AUCUUCAAUUACAUCAUAGUGAUGCUAAAAUUGUGCUUUGUUUCCAGUGUUAUCAAUGGUUAAAGGACAAAAUUAUCAGUGAAGAAGGAAGAAGACAGCAGGCAAAGCUAAAGGAUCUCACUCCAAUUGUGGAGCGACUGAGCUGCACACUACCCCAAUUAGCAAUAGCUUGAUGUCUGCAG